rnacentral:rRNA from 1 species
GACGAACGCUGGCGGCGUGCCUAAUACAUGCAAGUCGAACGCUUUUUCUUUCACCGGAGCUUGCUCCAUCGAAAGAAAAAGAGUGGCGAACGGGUGAGUAACACGUGGGUAACCUGCCCAUCAGAAGGGGAUAACACUUGGAAACAGGUGCUAAUACCGUAUAACACUAUUUUCCGCAUGGAAGAAAGUUGAAAGGCGCUUUUGCGUCACUGAUGGAUGGACCCGCGGUGCAUUAGCUAGUUGGUGAGGUAACGGCUCACCAAGGCAACGAUGCAAAGCCGACCUGAGAGGGUGAUCGGCCACACUGGGACUGAGACACGGCCCAGACUCCUACGGGAGGCAGCAGUAGGGAAUCUUCGGCAAUGGACGAAAGUCUGAUCGAGCAACGCCGCGUGAGUGAAGAAGGUUUUCGGAUCGUAAAACUCUGUUGUUAGAGAAGAACAAGGAUGAGAGUAAAAUGUUCAUCCCUUGACGGUAUCUAACCAGAAAGCCACGGCUAACUACGUGCCAGCCGCCGCCGUAA